ACUUAAGAUAUUAGGUUCCCUGAAGUCCAAAAAUGACAUAAUUUGGCUUAUUUUGUUACAAAAAUUAUACAGGAAGCAUUGUCAAAUAUGAAAUGGUGUUUGAUUUUCUUUGGGCUGUGUUUAUAUAAAUAUGUUAUUGGCAUGUGUUCCAAAAUUAUGGGAAACUCCUAUAAUUCUGAUAUAACUUAGAGGACAUUGUCAGUAAUAAUUAUAAUUAUUAUGUUACAUUAUUGUGUGCCACAGAGAUAACAAAUUUCCUUGUCAAUUGUGUCUUUGAUUAUGGCUGCCCUAAAACUUUUUUUCAUCCACAGACAAUUGUCAUCUUUUGGUCCUUUUUAGAAAGUGGUUCUAUAAUAAGCUAUAGAACUCUGAUACGUGUUCUUUGUUGUUUAUUUUUUUCUUUGAGACAGAAUCUCACUCUGUCAUCCAGGCUAGAGUGCAGUGGUGCAAUCUAGGUUCACUGCAAUCUCUGCCUCCUGUGUUCAAGAGAUUCUCCUGCCUCAGCCUGCCGAGUAGCGGGGAUUACAAGUGCCCACCACCAUGCUUGGCUAAUUUUUGUAUUUUUAGUAGAGACAGGGUUUUACCAAGUUGGUCAGGCUGAUCUCCAACUCCUGACCCCAAGCAAUCCACCUUCCUUCAGCCUCCCAUAGUGCUGGGAUUACAGGUGUGAGACACCACUCCUGGCCUCUAACAGGUGUUCUUAAAUGUAGGUUUCUGAUAACUUUGGAGGUUGUGACAUUAGAACAGAGGGAAAAAAACCUUUCAGGACUCUUAUGGAGAGCUGAAGUGUUCAGGAAUAUCAAGCAGAACAGGAGUUAACUGCAUAAACUGAACUGAUAGAUGACUAAAGUAACCGUUUCAACUUUUGCUUUAAAUGUUGCUAAUCCUUUGUUUUGUUUUUUUAGAGUCUUGAAACUUUUCUUUUGAGACAUUGACAGCUUUUAACAAUUUAAUGUACUCCUAUGAACAAAAUUAGGAGCAUAUUUGUUUCUCUCUAUCUGAUUUCCACAAAAUCUGGAAACUAUUUGUGUUGUGUAUUACCAGUGCACAGAGGAGAUUGGUUUUCACAUCAGCAUUGUAUAUAACCACAGUGCAUUCUUAUUCUCAGUUCAGUCUCUAUAUUGUCAUAAGUGUUUAUUGAGUACCUACUAUGUGCAGGCACAUACCACUGGGAAUACAGUGUUGAACAAGACAAAGUUCCUGCUCCCAUGGAGUUGACAUUCUAGAUGGAGACAUAGUAUGUAUAGACAGAAACCACUCACUGUGUCCUCAUCGGGUGGCACUAUGACUGCAUAUGGUUUCUUCCCACCAAAGUUCAUGCUGCAAUUUGACCCCCAACAUGAUGAUGUGUGGAGGUGGGAGCUAGUGGGAGGUGUUUUGGUCAUGGGAAUGGAUCCUUCCUGAUGUCUUGGUACUGUACUCCUGGCAAUGAGUUCUUGCUCUGGAGAGACUGGAUUAGUUCUCACGAGUCUGUAUUUCUUCCCAUAAGAGUGAGUUGUCAUAAUGACAUGAUGCCUCUUGGGUUUUGACUCUUUGCACUUAUUUGCUUCCACUUUGACCUUCCUUGCCAUAUUAGGACAAUACACAAGAGCUCUCACCAGAAGCCAGAACUGUGCCCUUGAACUUCCCAGCCUGCAGAAUUGUGAGCUAAAUAAACCUGUCUUCCUUAUCAGUUACCCAGUCUGAGGUAUUGUCAUAGCAAUACAAAAUGGACUUGGACAGAUGGUGAUAAAUACUAUGAAGAAAAACAAAAAUAAAGUAGUUGUUGCAGGCUAAAUAAUGACCUCACCAAAGAAAUUCACAUCCUAACCCCUGAAACCCAUGAAUAAUAUGUGAUAAAAAAAAAUGGGGUAGACUUUAUGGGAUUCAGCUAAGAUUCUUGAGAUGGCCAGACUCUCCUUGAUGAUCUGGGUGGGCCCCCAAUGCAAUCACUUGUGUCUCAGGAAAGGGAGGCUGAGAGAGACACAGCACAGGCAGAGGAGAGGGCCAUGUGAAGAGGGAGCAGAAAGAGAUGUGAACAUUCUUGUGUUGAAGACUGCAUGAUGUGGCCACAAGCCAAGAAAUGCCAGGUGCUUCCAAAAUCUGGAGAAGGCAAGGAGGGUCCACAAGUCUGGAGGGAGUGUGGCCCUGGAGACUCCUUGAUUUCAGCCCAGUGCCUUUGAUUUCAGACUUCCUACCUCAAGAACUGAAAGAAAUUUCUGUUUGUUUAAGUCAUCAAGUUUGUGGUGAUUUGCUACAAUAGGCCCAGGAGACUGAUAAGGCAGGCAUAGGAUUAGCAAGGAGGGUGGGGCUGGGUGGCUCUUUUAGAUGCUGUGGUCAAGGAAGUCCUUGCUGCUCUAACCUAAAGUCUGAGAGUGAUGGGAGAGUUAGCAACAUCCAUCUGUCUGUAGCAAGAACAAGAGAAGUAGGAGGGGAAGGCUGGAUAAGGUCUGCCUCUCACUGUUCCAUCCAACAUAUGGGAAACUUCCAGGUUGUUAGAGUAGCAUGGGACAAGGACCUGGGAAUGGGAGCCUGUGUUCUAGCCUAGGCUCCAUCACAAACAGUCAGUUACUCCACUUCGAGCACCAGCUUCUGCAUCUGUGGAAUGGGUUUGUCUUCCCUGACCCCAUUACUUGGCAGAGAUCAUAGGCACCACCGCAGGCCUGCUGGGAGCACGCCUGGGAUGUGCCAUGUGCUGGUUGCUUCUGGUCUAGGACCUACACCCACCUCCUUGACAUGCUGCUGCCAUCUGUGCCUCACACUGCCCUCACCCAUGUCUGUCAACAUUCCCUAAGCCCACUGUGCUGCCUGAACAGGUAAGCCCUCUCUGUGGGGACCGGCGCUGUCCACUGGGGCUUCUGACUCUCACCACCCUCCACGCAGCCACAGGCACCCCCAACUCCACCUAAGCUUCCCGAGGGGCUGUGUCCUCACCGUGGUUCCUCGCCCUUCCCAGGAUCCAGCUGCUCUCGAGUCCCCUGCCCGCCCCUCUUCCAUCCACACACCCUCUUCCCUCUCCCCAGCCUCCACUCACUCACUCCACAGAAUCAGGCUGAGUGCCUCCCUCAUAGCAACAGGAGGAAAUAGGAAGUGAAACAAACAGGACUUCUGUGCCCAGGUGGCCGGCAGCCAUGGGGAGGCUGGAGGGGGAUGGAGAGGGACACACAUGGGAUCCCCUGUGGCCUCCGUGGUGCAUCGUCACACUCUGAGAAGUGAGGCAGGAGGUCCACAGGGAAGGCCACGUUCAGAAGGGAGCAGCGGGGCAUCAGGCAGACCCGGCCUUGAGUUGGGGAGGCUGCCUGGGGAAGUGAAGCUGCAGCAGGGACCAGGUGCCGAGUAGGCAUUUGUGAGGCCCUAGGAGGAUGGAGCCAGGCCCCUCGGGGCUCAAGGGACCCCGCCUAGUGAUGGGGCUCAAAAUGAGGGGAGCAGAGGGCAUGAAAGACCUGGAGGGGGCAGAGCCCGGCAAGAAGGCUGGACCGGAGCAUCCACUGUUUGACUCUGAAGAGAUAAUGCAGGCUGCAGUGAGGAGACUGGAUGGAAGGGGGUUUGGGGACAUUUCAGCUAAAACAUCUACUCAGCUGUUCACAGCCCACAUUUGGGAAAUGAGGGGACAAGGAUGAGUCUGAGUCCUAGACUGAGAAUGAACCGGGUGACUGGUCAUGCCAGCCUCGGAAACUGGGACAUCUGGGAAGACUCCAUGAAGCUUGGGAGUGACAUCGUCUUACAACGUGGAGCAUCUUCAAGAUGACUUUGAGGGUCUCCAUGGAGAGGGGGAGAGGCAGUUGGAUUUAUGGGUCUGGCAGCUCGCAGAACCUUGAGCUGGUGAUCAAAUUUGGAGGGCUUGGGCUCAAAAGGAUCAACUGUUAGGAACUGCUAUUGCUCCAAAGCCCUCCUGCCCCAGCACACACAGCCUCACUGGGAGGCAGAACCAGCUGGCUGUGGCUCCAACCCCUGCAGCCCAGGACCCUGGUCUCUGCUGUCCACCUCAGUGAGAAAUGACCAAUUCUUUACAGAGUUGCAUGGGACAACAUUGCCUCCCCAUCCAGCCUGGCCUCAGGCAGCCUUCUACCCCCCGUGUCCUCUCAAGGUGAGGGACUCUUCUCCACACCUCUGCAGGACUGCAUGAGCCACCACCAGCACAGUGAUGCCUGUGGCAUGCGGGCCUUCUGCCCCCUCUCAAUGGCAAGUCUAAUAAAGCCAAGUUCAGGGACCACAACCAUGAUGUGUACAGAGUGGUCACCAUUGCUGAACUCCCUUAACCACCUGGAAGGCAGGCGUCCCAGCCCAGGCUUAAUUGCAUUCUCUAAUGAAUGAAGACAGGAUUCUGGGUUUUGUUGCUGUUGUUGUUUUUGAGACAUAGUCUUGCUCUGUUGCCCAGGCUAGAGUGCAGUGGUGUGAUCUCUGCUCACUGCAACAUCUGCCUCCUGGGUUCAAACUAUUCUCCUGCCUCAGCCUCCCGAGUAGCUGGGAUUAUAGGCGCCCACCAUCACACCCGGCUAAUUUUUGGUAUUUUUAGUAGAGAUGGGGUUUCACCUUGUUGGCCAGGCUGGUCUCGAACUCCUGACCUCAGGUGAUCCACUCACCUUGGCCUCCCAAAGUACUGGGAUUACAGGUAUGAGCCACCAUGCCCAGCCAUGUUGUUGUUUUUUUAGAGACAGGGUCUCACUUUGUCACCCAGGCUGGAGUCCCAUGGUGCAAUCAUAGCCCAGCACGAUACCUUGCUAAUUUUUAAAUAUUUUGUAGAGACAGGGCCCUACUAUGUUGCCCAGACUGGUCUUGAGUGCCUGGCCUCAGGCAAUCCUCCCACCUUGGCCUCCCAAGUGUUGGAAUUACAGGUGUGAGCCACCACACCCGGCCUAUUUACUUAUAUGCAUUUAAAAACUUACAGCAUGGUUUACUGCUCCCAUUCUCACCAUGUGAUGUGCCUGCUUCCCCUUUGCCUUCUUUCAUGAUUGGAGGCUUUCUGAGGCCUCCCAAGAAGCAGAAACCACUCUGCUUCCUAUACAGCCUGCAGAACUGUGAGUCAAUUAAAUAUCUUUUCUUAUAAAUUA